AAAAAUAAUUCACUAAGAGAAAAGAUUACAAGGUGAUUACCGACUCCACGGACUCAACCUCUCUUAACCUCCGAUGAAUCUCGCGCAAUCCUCCGGAUUGUCCACGCCCACACGUUCGAAUCCACGAACGCCUCGCACACGUCCGAAUCCACGAACGCCACUCGAAUCCACGAGCCCACGAUCCGAAUCCACGAACCGCCGUCAAUCAUGCCGAAUCCAUGACGCCAUCAU
rnacentral:lncRNA from 1 species